GUGCUUGCUUCAGUAGCACAUAAAGUAAAAUUGGACCGAUGCAGAGUAGAUUGGCAUGGUCCUUGCACAAGAAUGACACACAAAUUCCUGAAGUAUUUUAUAUUUUU
rnacentral:snRNA from 1 species